rnacentral:rRNA from 1 species
UCUUCCGCAAUGGACGAAAGUCUGACGGAGCAACGCCGCGUGAGUGAUGAAGGUUUUCGGAUCGUAAAACUCCGUUGUUAGGGAAGAACGAGUACCGCUCGAAUAGGGCGGCACCCUGACGGUACCUAACCAGAAAGCCACGGCUAACUACGUGCCAGCAGACGCGGUAAUACGUAGGUGGCAAGCGUUGUCCGGAAUUAUUGGGCGUAAAGGGCGCGCAGGCGGGUUCUUAAGUCUGAUGUGAAAGCCCCCGGCUCAACCGGGGAGGGUCAUUGGAAACGGGGGAACUUGAGUGCAGAAGAGGAGAGUGGAAUUCCACGUGUAGCGGUGAAAUGCGUAGAGAUGUGGAGGAACACCAGUGGCGAAGGCGACUCUCUGGUCUGUAACUGACGCUGAGGCGCGAAAGCGUGGGGAGCGAACAG